rnacentral:rRNA from 1 species
AUACGGAGGAUGCAAGCGUUAUCCGGAUUUAUUGGGUUUAAAGGGUGCGUAGGCGGUUUGCUAAGCGGGAGGUGAAAUGCCGGCGCUCAACGUCGGAAGUGCCUCCCGAACUGGUGGACUUGAAUGACUCUGCCGUGGGAGGAAUGUGUAGUGUAGCGGUGAAAUGCUUAGAGAUUACACAGAACACCGAUUGCGAAGGCAUCUCACGAAGGGUUGAUUGACGCUGAGGCACGAAAGCGUGGGGAUCAAACAGGAUUAGAUACCCUGGUAGUCCACGCAGUAAACGAUGAUGGCUAACCGCUGGGCUUAUCAGUUCAGUGGCCAAGCGAAAGCGAUAAGCCAUCCACCUGGGGAGUACGACCACAAGGUUGAAACUCAAAUGAAUUGACGGGG